AUUGAACGCUGGCGGCAGGCCUAACACAUGCAAGUCGAGCGGAUGAAGGGAGCUUGCUCCUGGAUUCAGCGGCGGACGGGUGAGUAAUGCCUAGGAAUCUGCCUGGUAGUGGGGGAUAACGUCCGGAAACGGGCGCUAAUACCGCAUACGUCCUGUGGGAGAAAGUGGGGGAUCUUCGGACCUCACGCUAUCAGAUGAGCCUAGGUCGGAUUAGCUAGUUGGUGGGGUAAAGGCCUACCAAGGCGACGAUCCGUAACUGGUCUGAGAGGAUGAUCAGUCACACUGGAACUGAGACACGGUCCAGACUCCUACGGGAGGCAGCAGUGGGGAAUAUUGGACAAUGGGCGAAAGCCUGAUCCAGCCAUGCCGCGUGUGUGAAGAAGGUCUUCGGAUUGUAAAGCACUUUAAGUUGGGAGGAAGGACAGUAAGUUAAUACCUUGCUGUUUUGACGUUACCAACAGAAUAAGCACCGGCUAACUUCGUG
rnacentral:rRNA from 1 species